AACCUGCGGAGGGAUCAUUACUGAGUGAGGGCUCACGCCCGACCUCCAACCCUUUGUGAACACAUCUCGUUGCUUCGGGGGCGACCCUGCCGGCACCGCGUCGCCGGGCGCCCCCGGAGGUCUCCUCAACACUGCAUCUUUGCGUCGGAGUCUGAUACAAAUCAAACAAAACUUUCAACAACGGAUCUCUUGGUUCUGGCAUCGAUGAAGAACGCAGCGAAAUGCGAUAAGUAAUGUGAAUUGCAGAAUUCAGUGAAUCAUCGAAUCUUUGAACGCAUAUUGCGCCCUUUGGUAUUCCGAAGGGCAUGCCUGUUCGAGCGUCAUUUCACCACUCAAGCCUGGCUUGGUAUUGGGCGUCGCGGCUCCCCGCGCGCCUCAAAGUCCCCCGGCUGAGCUGCCCGUCUCCAAGCGUUGUGGCAUUUCAACUAUUCGCUUCGGAGCGCGGGCGGCCGCGGCCGUUAAAUCCUCACACAAGGUUGACCUCGGAUCAGGUAGGGAUA
rnacentral:rRNA from 1 species